CCUACGUGGUGCAGCAGUGAGGAAUAUUGGUCAAUGGACGAGAGUCUGAACAAGCCAAGUAGCGUGAAGGAUGACUGCCCUAUGGGUUGUACACUUCUUUUAUAAAGGAAUAAAACGUGGCACGUUUGGUUUUUUGCAUGUACCUUAUGAAUAAGGAUCGGCUAACUCCGUGCCAGCAGCCGCGGUAAUCCGGAGGAUCCGAGCGUUAUCCGGAUUUAUUGGGUUUAAAGGGAGCGUAGAUGGGUUGUUAAGUCAGUUGUGAAAGUUUGCGGCCCAACCGUAAAAUUGCAAUUGAUACUGGCAGUCUUGAGUACAGUUGAGGUAGGCGGAAUUCGUGGUGUAGCGGUGAAAUGCUUAGAUAUCACGAAGAACCCCGAUUGCGAAGGCAGCUUACUAAACUGUGACUGACACUGAUGCUCGAAAGUGUGGGUAUCAAACAGGAUUAGAUACCCCUGUAGUC
rnacentral:rRNA from 1 species